AGCACAGAACUUAGCAACAGCACAACAGGCUGUGGCCAGCCGCCCUGGCCCGCUAGAGGGGCUUUCCGCCAGGCCCAGGGUUGGGGGACUGGGAGCUGGCUCCACCACCCCUGACAGGCUUGCAGGGCCCAAAGGCCCCCCACCACGGGCGUCAGGGUGGAGGCGCUGGAGCUCCUGCUGGAACCACAGGGCUCCCAGAGAUGGUCUGAAAUCCCGGCCUUCCCCACGCGCUCCCUUCUAUGGGGUCUGAGAGGAGAACGCUGACGGGCGUCCCCACGCGCAGCCGUGGUUCACUCUGCUGGUUGGGCAGCCAGGAGCUGACAAGGGCAUGGGGGACUUCUGAGUUUCAGAAACAUCCAGAUGGUCCGGCAUUUCUUGCAGCUGCCACCUGGCCUGGUUGAACCUGCUCGUGGCCUGGCCGCAGUGGCAGGGAGUUAGGGCUGACCCUUUCAGCUGGGGGCCUGGAGGAGCCGGUGAAGGGCCAGAGCCUGGGAUCGCAGCAGCCCCACAUCUGCGCGCCUGACUCACGGACUCUGACAUAGUGACGGUUUGUGCAGCUUGCUAAGGAGAGAGCACCCAGGCCUGUCCUCCAAGGGCCCCGUCUGAGGCCCCGUCUCAGAGGUGCGGCAGUAACAGGGUCCCUCUGGAGCCCCAGCCCCCAGGGGGGAGUCCCUGCCCCACCUACCAGUCUGUGGCCCGUGCACAGUUUCUCCUCCCUGAGUGUCACCGCUUCCUCGCCUGUGAGCUGGGAGGACUAAGUGACCAGUGUGGCUCGUUCCUGGCACCACAUACACUGCAGCCCUCAUUCUGGUUGUUCCCACAUCUUGGCUGUCGUGAAUAGUGCUACAGCAAACAUCAAACUAAAAAGCUUCCACCCAGCAAAGGAGACAAUCAACAGAGUGAAAAGGCAACUACAGAGUGGGAGAAGAUAUUUACCAACCAUGUGUCUGAUAAGGGGUAUAUAGCCAAAGUACAUAAGGAACUCCUACAACUCCACAGCAAAAAAUUGAAUAACUCAAUUGAAAAAUGGACUAAGGACUUGAAUUUUUCCAAAGAAGACACACAAGUGGCCAACAGGUACAUGAAAAGAUGCUCAACGUCACUGAUCAUCAGGGAAAUGCAAAUCAAAACCUUAUACCUGUGAGGAUGGUUGUUACCAAAAAAACAAAGACAAGUGUUGGUGAGGAUGUAGAGAAAUUGAAACCCUCACACACUGUUGAUGGGGAUGCAAAAUGAUGCGGUCGCUAUGGAAGAUAGUAUGGAGGCUCCUCAAGAAGUUAAAAGUUGACUACCAUAUGAUCCAGCCACCCCACUUCUGGGUACUUACCUGCAAGAGCUGAAACCAGGCUUUCUUUUGCAGUGGGCAGUACUCUCCUUCCCCAGGUGCCCACUGUCCAGAGGUCCCUGCCUUUCUCCUGCACUACCUGCCUCGGGCCUGGGGCCUUUGCUGGGGUGCUCAGGAGCUUCUGAGGGUGGGAUUAACAGGCACUGAAGCUCGGUCACCUCCACAACUUCUAAGUCGGGUUUCUCACCAACGAUGUGAAGAUUUCAUGGAACAAGGGGCCUCUGCCGCCACCUGCUGGGCACCUGGGGAAAGGGCUCUUACGCCCCAAGGAGCCCUUCCUGCUGUCUGGGCAUUUAUAAUGCAUGCCAGCAAUAGCAAUAACAAUAGCUGUGAUUUAUUAAAUGAUUGUCAGACAUUGUACCAAGUGCUUUCAA